UACGUAGGGGGGCAAGCGUUGUCCGGAUUUAUUGGGCGUAAAGAGCGUGUAGGCGGCCAUACAGGUCCGUUGUGAAAACUCGAGGCUUAACCUCGAGACGUCGAUGGAAACCGUAUGGCUAGAGUCCGGAAGAGGAGAGUGGAAUUCCUGGUGUAGCGGUGAAAUGCGCAGAUAUCAGGAAGAACACCCGUGGCGAAGGCGGCUCUCUGGGACGGUACUGACGCUGAGACGCGAAAGCGUGGGGAGCGAACAGG
rnacentral:rRNA from 1 species